rnacentral:siRNA from 1 species
GUGGCCUACCAUGGUGGUAA